CCUACGGGAGGCAGCAGUGAGGAAUAUUGGUCAAUGGACGAGAGUCUGAACCAGCCAAGUAGCGUGAAGGAUGACUGCCCUAUGGGUUGUAAACUUCUUUUAUAAAGGAAUAAAACGAGGCACGUGUGCCUUUUUGCAUGUACUUUAUGAAUAAGGAUCGGCUAACUCCGUGCCAGCAGCCGCGGUAAUACGGAGGAUCCGAGCGUUAUCCGGAUUUAUUGGGUUUAAAGGGAGCGUAGAUGGGUUGUUAAGUCAGUUGUGAAAGUUUGCGGCUCAACCGUAAAAUUGCAAUUGAUACUGGCAGUCUUGAGUACAGUUGAGGUAAGCGGAAUUCGUGGUGUAGCGGUGAAAUGCUUAGAUAUCACGAAGAACCCCGAUUGCGAAGGCAGCUUACCAAACUGUGACUGACAUUGAUGCUCGAAAGUGUGGGUAUCAAACAGGAUUAGAUACCCUAGUAGUC
rnacentral:rRNA from 1 species